AUUGAACGCUGGCGGCAUGCUUUACACAUGCAAGUCGAGCGGCAGCGCGGCCUUCGGGCUGGCGGCGAGCGGCGAACGGGUGAGUAAUGCAUCGGAACAUGCCCAGUCGUGGGGGAUAACACUUCGAAAGAAGUGCUAAUACCGCAUACGUCCUGAGGGGGAAAGCGGGGGAUCGCAAGACCUCGCGCGAUUGGAGUGGCCGAUGUCAGAUUAGCUAGUUGGUGGGGUAAAGGCCUACCAAGGCGACGAUCUGUAGCUGGUCUGAGAGGAUGAUCAGCCACACUGGGACUGAGACACGGCCCAGACUCCUACGGGAGGCAGCAGUGGGGAAUUUUGGACAAUGGGGGCAACCCUGAUCCAGCCAUUCCGCGUGAGUGAAGAAGGCCUUCGGGUUGUAAAGCUCUUUCGGCAGGAACGAAACGGUGGGCUCUAACAUAGUCCGCUAAUGACGGUACCUGAAGAAGAAGCACUGGCUAACUACGUG
rnacentral:rRNA from 1 species